GAUGAACGCUGGCGGCGUGCCUAAUACAUGCAAGUCGAGCGAACGGACGAGAAGCUUGCUUCUCUGAUGUUAGCGGCGGACGGGUGAGUAACACGUGGAUAACCUACCUAUAAGACUGGGAUAACUUCGGGAAACCGGAGCUAAUACCGGAUAAUAUUUUGAACCGCAUGGUUCAAAAGUGAAAGACGGUCUUGCUGUCACUUAUAGAUGGAUCCGCGCUGCAUUAGCUAGUUGGUAAGGUAACGGCUUACCAAGGCAACGAUGCAUAGCCGACCUGAGAGGGUGAGCGGCCACACUGGAACUGAGACACGGUCCAGACUCCUACGGGAGGCAGCAGUAGGGAAUCGUCCGCAAUGGGCGAAAGCCUGACGGAGCAACGCCGCGUGAGUGAUGAAGGUCUUCGGAUCGUAAAACUCUGUUAUUAGGGAAGAACAUAUGUGUAAGUAACUGUGCACAUCUUGACGGUACCUAAUCAGAAAGCCACGGCUAACUACGUG
rnacentral:rRNA from 1 species